GACGAACGCUGGCGGCGUGCUUAACACAUGCAAGUCGAACGCUGAAGCUCAGCUUGCUGGGUGGAUGAGUGGCGAACGGGUGAGUAACACGUGAGUAACCUGCCCUCUUCUUUGGGAUAACGCCCGGAAACGGGUGCUAAUACUGGAUAUUCACUGAUUCUCGCAUGGGGGUUGGUGGAAAGGUUUUUUCUGGUGGGGGAUGGGCUCGCGGCCUAUCAGCUUGUUGGUGGGGUGAUGGCCUACCAAGGCUUUGACGGGUAGCCGGCCUGAGUGGGUGACCGGUCACAUUGGGACUGAGAUACGGCCCAGACUCCUACGGGAGGCAGCAGUGGGGAAUAUUGCACAAUGGGCGAAAGCCUGAUGCAGCGACGCCGCGUGAGGGAUGGAGGCCUUCGGGUUGUAAACCUCUUUCGCUCAUGGUCAAGCCGCAGCUUUGGGUUGUGGUGAGGGUAGUGGGUAAAGAAGCGCCGGCUAACUACGUG
rnacentral:rRNA from 1 species